rfam:Micromonas pusilla CCMP1545 genomic scaffold MICPTCscaffold_1, whole genome shotgun sequence.
GGGGACGUAGCUCAAUUGGCAGAGCGCUCGCUUCGCAUGCGAGAGGUACGGGGAUCGAAGCCCUGCGUCUCCA